GAGGCGUGGCUUCCGGAGCUAACGCGUUAAGUCGACCGCCUGGGGAGUACGGCCGCAAGGUUAAAACUCAAAUGAAUUGACGGGGGCCCGCACAAGCGGUGGAGCAUGUGGUUUAAUUCGAUGCAACGCGAAGAACCUUACCUACUCUUGACAUCCAGAGAACUUUCCAGAGAUGGAUUGGUGCCUUCGGGAACUCUGAGACAGGUGCUGCAUGGCUGUCGUCAGCUCGUGUUGUGAAAUGUUGGGUUAAGUCCCGCAACGAGCGCAACCCUUAUCCUUUGUUGCCAGCGGUCCGGCCGGGAACUCAAAGGAGACUGCCAGUGAUAAACUGGAGGAAGGUGGGGAUGACGUCAAGUCAUCAUGGCCCUUACGAGUAGGGCUACACACGUGCUACAAUGGCGCAUACAAAGAGAAGCGAACUCGCGAGAGCAAGCGGACCUCAUAAAGUGCGUCGUAGUCCGGAUUGGAGUCUGCAACUCGACUCCAUGAAGUCGGAAUCGCUAGUAAUCGUAGAUCAGAAUGCUACGGUGAAUACGUUCCCGGGCCUUGCACUCCCCGCCCGUCAAAA
rnacentral:rRNA from 1 species